rnacentral:rRNA from 1 species
GAUGAACGCUGGCGGCGUGCCUAAUACAUGCAAGUCGAGCGAACAGACGAGGAUCUUGCUCCUCUGACGUUAGCGGCGGACGUGUGAGUAACACGUGGAUAACCUACCUAUAAGACUGGGAUAACUUCGGGAAACCGGAGCUAAUACCGGAUAAUAUAUUGAACCGCAUGGUUCAAUAGUUAAAGACGGUUUUGCUGUCACUUAUAGAUGUAUCCGCGCGGCAUUAGCUAGUUGGUAAGGUAACGGCUUACCAUGGCAACGAUGCGUAGCCGACCUGAGAGGGUGAUCGGCCACACUGGAACUGAGACACGGUCCAGACUCCUACGGGAGGCAGCAGUAGGGAAUCUUCCGAAAUGGGCGAAAGCCUGACGGAGCAACGCCGCGUGAGUGAUGAAGGUCUUCGGAUCGUAAAACUCUGUUAUUAGGGAAGAACAAAUGUGUAAGUAACUAUGCACGUCUUGACGGUACCUAAUCAGAAAGCAACGGCUAACUACGUG